CAGUGGGGGCAAGCGUUGUUCGGAAUUACUGGGCGUAAAGGGCGCGUAGGCGGCCUUCUAAGUCGAACGUGAAAUCCCCGGGCUCAACCCGGGAACUGCGUCCGAUACUGGAAGGCUUGAAUCCGGGAGAGGGAUGCGGAAUUCCAGGUGUAGCGGUGAAAUGCGUAGAUAUCUGGAGGAACACCGGUGGCGAAGGCGGCAUCCUGGACCGGUAUUGACGCUGAGGCGCGAAAGCCAGGGGAGCAAACGGGAUUAGAUACCCCGGUAGUCCUGGCCCUAAACGAUGAAUGCUUGGUGUGGCGGGUAUCGAUCCCUGCCGUGCCGAAGCUAACGCAUUAGGCAUUCCGCCUGGGGAGUACGGUCGCAAGGCUG
rnacentral:rRNA from 1 species